ACGGCUCAGUAACACGUGGACAACCUACCCUGAAGAGGGGGAUAACCCCGGGAAACUGGGGAUAAUACCCCAUAGACUAUGGAUGCUGGAAUGCUCUGUAGUUCAAAGGUCCGCCGCUUCAGGAUGGGUCUGCGGCCGAUUAGGUUGUUGUUGGGGUAACGGCCCAACAAGCCUGUAAUCGGUACGGGUUGUGGGAGCAAGAGCCCGGAGAUGGAUUCUGAGACACGAAUCCAGGCCCUACGGGGCGCAGCAGGCGCGAAAACUUCGCAAUGCGAGAAAUCGUGACAAGGGAACUCCGAGUGCCUGUAAAAUCAGGCUGUCCGCCAGUGUAAACAACUGGUGAAGAAAGGGCCGGGCAAGACCGGUGCCAGCCGCCGCGGUAAUACCGGCGGCUCGAGUGGUGGCCACUAUUACUGGGCUUAAAGCGUUCGUAGCUGGUCUGUUAAGUCUCUGGGGAAAUCUUCCGGCUUAACCGGAAGGCGUCUCAGGGAUACUGGCAGACUAGGGACCGGAAGAGGUGAGAGGUACUCCAGGGGUAGGAGUGAAAUCCUGUAAUCCUUGGGGGACCACCUGUGGCGAAGGCGUCUCACCAGGACGGCUCCGACAGUGAGGAACGAAAGCUGGGGGAGCAAACCGGAUUAGAUACCCGGGUAGUCCCAGCUGUAAACGAUGCGCGUUAGGUGUAUCGGUGACCACGAGUCACCGAGGUGCCGAAGAGAAAUCGUGAAACGCGCCGCCUGGGAAGUACGGUCGCAAGGCUGAAACUUAAAGGAAUUGGCGGGGGAGCAC
rnacentral:rRNA from 1 species